GACGAACGCUGGCGGCGUGCUUAACACAUGCAAGUCGAGCGGAAAGGCCCUUCGGGGUACUCGAGCGGCGAACGGGUGAGUAACACGUGAGUAACCUGCCCCAGACUUUGGGAUAACCCUCGGAAACGGGGGCUAAUACCGGAUACGACACAGCUUCGCAUGGGGUCUGUGUGGAAAGUUUUUCGGUUUGGGAUGGGCUCGCGGCCUAUCAGCUUGUUGGUGGGGUGAUGGCCUACCAAGGCGACGACGGGUAGCCGGCCUGAGAGGGCGACCGGCCACACUGGGACUGAGACACGGCCCAGACUCCUACGGGAGGCAGCAGUGGGGAAUAUUGCACAAUGGGCGGAAGCCUGAUGCAGCGACGCCGCGUGAGGGAUGACGGCCUUCGGGUUGUAAACCUCUUUCAGCAGGGACGAAGCGUAAGUGACGGUACCUGGAGAAGAAGCGCCGGCCAACUACGUG
rnacentral:rRNA from 1 species